AGUGGCAGACGGGUGAGUAACAUGUGGGAAUCUACCCUUUGGCCUGGAAUAACACGAGGAAACUUGUGCUAAUACCGGAUAAGUCUUUACGGAGAAAGCUUUAUGCACCAUUGGAUGAGCCCGCACUUGAUUAGUUUGUUGGUAGGGUAAUGGCCUACCAAGACUAUGAUCAAUAGCUGAUUUGAGAGGAUGAUCAGCCACAUUGGGACUGAGACACGGCCCAAACUCCUACGGGAGGCAGCAGUGGGGAAUCUUGCACAAUGGAGGAAACUCUGAUGCAGCGAUGCCGCGUGAGUGAAGAAGGCCUUUGGGUUGUAAAGCUCUUUCGUCGGGGAAGAAAAUGACUGUACCCGAAUAAGAAGGUCCGGCUAACUUCGUGCCAGCAGCCGCGGUAAUACGAAGGGACCUAGCGUAGUUCGGAAUUACUGGGCUUAAAGAGUUCGUAGGUGGUUGCAAAAGUUGGUGGUGAAAUCCCAGAGCUUAACUCUGGAACUGCCAUCAAAACUUUUCAGCUAGAGUAUGAUAGAGGAAAGCAGAAUUUCUAGUGUAGAGGUGAAAUUCGUAGAUAUUAGAAAGAAUACCAAUUGCGAAGGCAGCUUUCUGGAUCAUUACUGACACUGAGGAACGAAAGCAUGGGUAGCGAAGAGGAUUAGAUACCCUCGUAGUCCAUGCCGA
rnacentral:rRNA from 1 species